CAAAUCCACACACCCACACAGAAAAAAACACACACACUGCUGGUCGGAUCAAAGAUGAAGAUCAGAUCUAGUCGGUUGGGAUCCGUCUUUGUUGAUCGAAGUUGAAAUCAGAGUUUCUCCUCCUGUCAUCUGGUCAUAUGGAACGAAUCCACACACCCACACAGAAAAAACCACACACACACUGCUGGUCGGAUCGAAGAUGAAGAUCAGAUCUGGUCGGUUGGGAUCCCUCUUUGUUGAUCAAAGUUGAAAUCGGAGUUUCUCCUCCUGCCAUCUGGUCAUACGGAACGAAAAGCAAUGAGGCUCACCUUAAUGUAUGGGUGCCGGAGGCUUCCUUUCUGUGUUGAUGCGACCUACUAUUAUCGAUCUCAACUAUCGUUCCACACUAACCGAGAAGCCUCUUUUAGUUGGCCAUAGGAGCAAACCCUACCCCCUAAAGAAAAAACCUUAAGUCUGGAAUCCUCCAUUAGAGACGCGAAGGUAUGUUCGGCGAUUUGCAGACGACUGUUGCUGUUAGGUUUGCACAUAUGUAUUCAUGUUUUAUGUAUGUGUAUGUGGAAAUCCGUAUAGGGCACUGCUUUUAAUUUCUAUUGGGAAUGAAAUUAUUGAUAGUUGUUUCAUAUGAAA